AACGAACGCUGGCGGCAUGCCUAACACAUGCAAGUCGAACGAGACCUUCGGGUCUAGUAGCGCACGGGUGCGUAACGCGUGGUAAUCUGCCCUUGGGUUCGGAAUAACAGUUUGAAACGACUGCUAAUACCGGAGGAUGACGUAAGUCCAAAGAUUUAUCGCUCAAGGAUGAGCGCGCGUAGGAUUAGCUGGUUGGUGAGGUAAAGGCGCGCCAAGGCGACGAUCCUUAGCUGGUCUGAGAGGAUGAUCAGCCACACUGGGACUGAGACACGGCCCAGACUCGUACGGGAGGGAGGAGUGGGGAAUAUUGGACAAUGGGCGAAAGCAUGAUCCAGCAAUGCCGGGUGAGUGGUGCAGGGCUUAGGGUUGUAAAGCUGUUUUACACGGGAUGAUAAUGACGGUACCGGGAGAAUAAGCACCGGCUAACUCCGUG
rnacentral:rRNA from 1 species